GACGAACGCUGGCGGCGUGCCUAAUACAUGCAAGUCGAGCGAAGUUUUUCUGGUGCUUGCACCGGAAAAACUUAGCGGCGAACGGGUGAGUAACACGUAAAGAACCUGCCUCAUAGACUGGGACAACUAUUGGAAACGAUAGCUAAUACCGGAUAAUAGCAUUAACUGCAUGGUUGAUGUUUAAAAGUUGGUUUUGCUAACACUAUGAGAUGGCUUUGCGGUGCAUUAGCUAGUUGGUGGGGUAAAGGCCUACCAAGGCGACGAUGCAUAGCCGACCUGAGAGGGUGAUCGGCCACACUGGGACUGAGACACGGCCCAGACCCCUACGGGAGGCAGCAGUAGGGAAUCUUCCGCAAUGGGCGAAAGCCUGACGGAGCAACGCCGCGUGAGUGAAGAAGGAUUUCGGUUCGUAAAGCUCUGUUGUUAGGGAAGAAUGAUUGUGUAGUAACUAUACACAGUAGAGACGGUACCUAACCAGAAAGCCACGGCUAACUACGUG
rnacentral:rRNA from 1 species